rnacentral:rRNA from 1 species
AUCCUACGGGAGGCAGCAGUGAGGAAUAUUGGUCAAUGGGCGGGAGCCUGAACCAGCCAAGUCGCGUGAGGGACGACGGUCCUAUGGAUUGCAAACCUCUUUUGUCGGGGAACAAAGGCGCCCACGGGUGGGCGGAUGAGUGUACCCGAAGAAAAAGCAUCGGCUAACUCCGUGCCAGCAGCCGCGGUAAUACGGAGGAUGCGAGCGUUAUCCGGAUUUAUUGGGUUUAAAGGGUGCGUAGGCGGUCCGGAAAGUCAGCGGUAAAAGCCCGGGGCUCAACCCCGGCGAGCCGUUGAAACUGCCGG